rnacentral:lncRNA from 12 species
GAGUUUCACUUUCAAAACCUCAUCCCUGACUGGUCAGUCCUCAGAUGAUUGGUCAGCGGCCUCCUAAAUGCCCUCAGGUAUCAUAGUGACCAGCCUGAGCAGGCCAAUUUCAACCAGAACUGGGCUGCACCAGUGAGCCCCGUGGAGCCUACAGAGCAGCUGUGUUCCCGAAGUCUGAAGGGCCCCACUCUGCAGGGAUGAGGAGCAGAGCUGCGUCGAAGCGAUGGAGGAAGGGCAGCCCUCGCUGAAUUCCAGCCUUCCUUGGCUCCCCUGGAAGAGCUUCCUUCCAAAGAACCGAAGCCCAACCUGAAAGAACCAGGUCUGUUGUGUACAGGAUGAUAAGGACCAGAAACCUCUACUUUCAUCCUAAUCCUCCUACCUGUGUGUCUGCAUGAAGAGAAUUGUCCAGGCCAAACAACAACAGGCAGACCUCACUUCCUGAUCUGAAGCCUCACAGGACAGUGCCACCCCUGAGUCAUAGCCAGGGGCACCUGGGUCUCAGUGAGCCACCCUGCAGCCUGCACCCAAAGAAGCCUGAGAGACUGGCCAGAGGGAGAGGUGAAGUCAGAAGUCAAGCCUAUCACAGAGCUGAGGAAUUCCAAAGCAAUCUGAAAGUU